UGCUCUUCCGAUCUCUCAGAUUGAACGCUGGCGGCAUGCCUAACACAUGCAAGUCGAACGGAAACGAUGCUAGCUUGCUAGCAGGCGUCGAGUGGCGGACGGGUGAGUAAUGCAUAGGAAUCUACCUAAUAGUGGGGGACAACCUGGUGAAAACCAGGCUAAUACCGCAUAAUCCCUACGGGGCAAAGCAGGGGACCUUCGGGCCUUGCGCUAAUAGAUGAGCCUAUGUCGGAUUAGCUAGUUGGUGAGGUAAUGGCUCACCAAGGCGACGAUCCGUAGCUGGUUUGAGAGGAUGAUCAGCCACACUGGGACUGAGACACGGCCCAGACUCCUACGGGAGGCAGCAGUGGGGAAUAUUGCACAAUGGAGGAAACUCUGAUGCAGCAAUGCCGCGUGUGUGAAGAAGGCCUUAGGGUUGUAAAGCACUUUCAGUAGGGAGGAAAAGUAAGUAGUUAAUAACUGCUUACCCUGACGUUACCUACAGAAGAAGCACCGGCUAACUCCGUGCCAGCAGCCGCGGUAAUACGGAGGGUGCAAGCGUUAAUCGGAAUUACUGGGCGUAAAGCGCGCGUAGGCGGUUAAACAAGUCAGAUGUGAAAGCCCCGGGCUCAACCUGGGAACUGCAUUUGAAACUGUUUAGCUAGAGUGUGGUAGAGGAGAGUGGAAUUUCAGGUGUAGCGGUGAAAUGCGUAGAUAUCUGAAGGAACACCAGUGGCGAAGGCGGCUCUCUGGACCAACACUGACGCUGAGGUGCGAAAGCGUGGGUAGCAAACGGGAUUAGAUACCCCGGUAGUCCACGCCGUAAACGAUGUCAACUAACUGUUGGGCGGGUUUCCGCUUAGUGGUGCAGCUAACGCAAUAAGUUGACCGCCUGGGGAGUACGGCCGCAAGGCUAAAACUCAAAUGAAUUGACGGGGGCCCGCACAAGCGGUGGAGCAUGUGGUUUAA
rnacentral:rRNA from 1 species